AGCCGGCAAAACAAACAAACAGACAAAAAGAAAGAAACAAAGAAACAAAAAACAAACGAGCACAAUGCAUAGAAGCACAAUGCAAUUAAGGUUUUAUAAUUAAUAAUGAUGUAUUUUUAUUCAGGAUGGACUUCUCCAACGUGUUUUCAUUCUCGUUACUAGAGU
rnacentral:ribozyme from 16 species